UAUUGAUUGGUGCUUGCAUCAUGAUUUACAUUUGAGUGAGUGGCGAACUGGUGAGUAACACGUGGGAAACCUGCCCAGAAGCGGGGGAUAACACCUGGAAACAGAUGCUAAUACCGCAUAACAACUUGGACCGCAUGGUCCGAGCUUGAAAGAUGGCUUCGGCUAUCACUUUUGGAUGGUCCCGCGGCGUAUUAGCUAGAUGGUGGGGUAACGGCUCACCAUGGCAAUGAUACGUAGCCGACCUGAGAGGGUAAUCGGCCACAUUGGGACUGAGACACGGCCCAAACUCCUACGGGAGGCAGCAGUAGGGAAUCUUCCACAAUGGACGAAAGUCUGAUGGAGCAACGCCGCGUGAGUGAAGAAGGGUUUCGGCUCGUAAAACUCUGUUGUUAAAGAAGAACAUAUCUGAGAGUAACUGUUCAGGUAUUGACGGUAUUUAACCAGAAAGCCACGGCUAACUACGUGCCAGCAGCCGCGGUAAUACGUAGGUGGCAAGCGUUGUCCGGAUUUAUUGGGCGUAAAGCGAGCGCAGGCGGUUUUUUAAGUCUGAUGUGAAAGCCUUCGGCUCAACCGAAGAAGUGCAUCGGAAACUGGGAAACUUGAGUGCAGAAGAGGACAGUGGAACUCCAUGUGUAGCGGUGAAAUGCGUAGAUAUAUGGAAGAACACCAGUGGCGAAGGCGGCUGUCUGGUCUGUAACUGACGCUGAGGCUCGAAAGUAUGGGUAGCAAACAGGAUUAGAUACCCUGGUAGUCCAUACCGUAAACGAUGAAUGCUAAGUGUUGGAGGGUUUCCGCCCUUCAGUGCUGCAGCUAACGCAUUAAGCAUUCCGCCUGGGGAGUACGGCCGCAAGGCUGAAACUCAAAGGAAUUGACGGGGGCCCGCACAAGCGGUGGAGCAUGUGGUUUAAUUCGAAGCUACGCGAAGAACCUUACCAGGUCUUGACAUACUAUGCAAAUCUAAGAGAUUAGACGUUCCCUUCGGGGACAUGGAUACAGGUGGUGCAUGGUUGUCGUCAGCUCGUGUCGUGAGAUGUUGGGUUAAGUCCCGCAACGAGCGCAACCCUUAUUAUCAGUUGCCAGCAUUAAGUUGGGCACUCUGGUGAGACUGCCGGUGACAAACCGGAGGAAGGUGGGGAUGACGUCAAAUCAUCAUGCCCCUUAUGACCUGGGCUACACACGUGCUACAAUGGAUGGUACAACGAGUUGCGAACUCGCGAGAGUAAGCUAAUCUCUUAAAGCCAUUCUCAGUUCGGAUUGUAGGCUGCAACUCGCCUACAUGAAGUCGGAAUCGCUAGUAAUCGCGGAUCAGCAUGCCGCGGUGAAUACGUUCCCGGGCCUUGUACACACCGCCCGUCACACCAUGAGAGUUUGUAACACCCAAAGUCGGUGGGG
rnacentral:rRNA from 2 species